UACACACCGCCUGUCACACCAUGGGAGCGGGUUCUGCCAGAAGUAGUUAGCCUAACCGCAAGGAGGGCGAUUACCACGGCAGGGUUCGUGACUGGGGUG
rnacentral:rRNA from 1 species